AGUUCUGACCCCGCCUGUCUUAACAGGACUCAGUCUUUCAGCCCCAUUUGAGGACAUCUACUUUGGACUCUGGGGUUUCAACAGCUCUCUGGCCUGCAUUGCAAUGGGAGGAAUGUUCAUGGCGCUCACCUGGCAAACCCACCUCCUGGCUCUUGGCUGUGCCCUGUUCACGGCCUAUCUUGGAGUCGGCAUGGCAAACUUUAUGGCUGAGGUUGGAUUGCCAGCUUGUACCUGGCCCUUCUGUUUGGCCACGCUAUUGUUCCUCAUCAUGACCACAAAAAAUUCCAACAUCUACAAGAUGCCCCUCAGUAAAGUUACUUAUCCUGAAGAAAACCGCAUCUUCUACCUGCAAGCCAAGAAAAGAAUGGUGGAAAGCCCUUUGUGAGAACAAGCCCCAUUUGCAGCCAUGGUCACGAGUCAUUUCUGCCUGACUGCUCCAGCUAACUUCCAGGGUCUCAGCAAACUGCUGUUUUUCACGAGUAUCAACUUUCAUACUGACGCGUCUGUAAUCUGUUCUUAUGCUCAUUUUGUAUUUUCCUUUCAACUCCAGGAAU
rnacentral:sRNA from 1 species